GCCUACCAUGCAAGUCGAGCGGCAGCACAGAUAACUUGUUUCUCGGGUGGCGAGCGGCGGACGGGGAGGGGGGCUGGGAAUUGCCCUGAUGUGGGGGAUAACCAUUGGAAACGAUGGCUAAUACCGCAUGAUGCCUACGGGCCAAAGAGGGGGACCUUCGGGCCUCUCGCGUCAGGAUAUGCCCAGGUGGGAUUAGCUAGUUGGUGAGGUAAGGGCUCACCAAGGCGACGAUCCCUAGCUGGUCUGAGAGGAUGAUCAGCCACACUGGAACUGAGACACGGUCCAGACUCCUACGGGAGGCAGCAGUGGGGAAUAUUGCACAAUGGGCGCAAGCCUGAUGCAGCCAUGCCGCGUGUGUGAAGAAGGCCUUCGGGUUGUAAAGCACUUUCAGUAGGGAGGAAGGUGGUAGUGUUAAUAGCGCUAUCAUUUGACGUUACCUACAGAAGAAGCACCGGCUAACUCCGUGCCAGCAGCCGCGGUAAUACGGAGGGUGCGAGCGUUAAUCGGAAUUACUGGGCGUAAAGCGCAUGCAGGUGGUUUGUUAAGUCAGAUGUGAAAGCCCCGGGCUCAACCUGGGAAAUUGCAUUUGAAACUGGCAAACUAGAGUACUGUUAGAGGGGGGUAGAAUUUCAGGUGUAGCGGUGAAAUGCGUAGAGAUCUGAAGGAAUACCGGUGGCGAAAGGCGGCCCCCUGGACAGAUACUGACACUCAGAUGCGAAAGCGUGGGGAGCAAAACAGGAUUAGAUACCCUGGGUAGUCCACGCCCGUAAAACGAUGUCUACUUUGGAGGUUUGUGGCCUUGAGCCGUGGGCUUUUCGGGAAGCUAACGCGUU
rnacentral:rRNA from 1 species